GAUGAACGCUGGCGGCGUGCCUAAUACAUGCAAGUCGAGCGAACAGACGAGGAGCUUGCUCCUCUGAUGUUAGCGGCGGACGGGUGAGUAACACGUGGAUAACCUACCUAUAAGACUGGGAUAACUUCGGGAAACCGGAGCUAAUACCGGAUAACAUGUUGAACCGCAUGGUUCAACAGUGAAAGACGGUCUUGCUGUCACUUAUAGAUGGAUCCGCGCCGCAUUAGCUAGUUGGUAAGGUAACGGCUUACCAAGGCAACGAUGCGUAGCCGACCUGAGAGUGUGAUCGGCCACACUGGAACUGAGACGCGGUCCAGACUCCUACGGGAGGCAGCAGUAGAGAAUCUUCCGCAAUGGGCGAAAGCCUGACGGAGCAACGCCGCGUGAGUGAAGAAGGUCUUCGGAUCGUAAAACUCUGUUAUGGGAAGAACAAAUGUGUAAGUAACUAUGCACGUCUUGACGGUACCUAAUCAGAAAGCCACGGCUAACUACGUG
rnacentral:rRNA from 1 species